rnacentral:rRNA from 1 species
UGAACGCUGGCGGCGUGCUUAACACAUGCAAGUCGCACGAGAACGCUUCAGCUUGCUGAAGCAAGUAAAGUGGCGCACGGGUGAGUAACGCGUGGGUAAUCUACCCCCGAAUUUGGAAUAACUUCGCGAAAGCGGAGCUAAUACCGGAUAAUAUCCUUUAAGUCCAGGCUUAUUGGAUCAAAGGUGGCCUCUACAUGUAAGCUACUGUUUGGGGAGGAGCCCGCGUACCAUUAGCUUGUUGGUGGGGUAAUGGCCCACCAAGGCUACGAUGGUUAGCUGGUCUGAGAGGAUGAUCAGCCACACUGGAACUGACACACGGUCCAGACUCCUACGGGAGGCAGCAGUGAGGAAUUUUGCGCAAUGGGGGCAACCCUGACGCAGCAACGCCGCGUGAGUGAUGAAGGCUUUCGGGUCGUAAAGCUCUGUCAAGUGGGAAGAACCUGUAUUUAGAUAAUAUCUGAAUACACUGACGGUACCACUGAAGGAAGCACCGGCUAACUCC